AUCGAUGGUCGUCGCCCCCACUAGUGGUACAGUCUGCUGUGCUGUUGAAGCAGCGCGUUUGUUUCGCGGUUUGUCUGUGUUUUAAAUCACUUACUACAGUGCUAAACCUACUCACGUUAUAUUAUGUCUGUGGCUUUCGCACCGCAUCGGCAACGCGCCAAGGGCGAUAUAACGCCCGCAGGAAUACAGAAGUUACUGGAUGAAAACAAUCAGUUGAUUCAGUGCAUUAUGGACUUCCAGAGUAAAGGAAAAACCGCUGAAUGCUCACACUAUCAGCAGAUGUUACACAGGAAUCUGGUCUAUCUGGCGACUAUAGCAGACUCCAAUCAGAACAUGCAGUCUCUGCUGCCCGCUCCACCCACUCAAAACAUGGGCAUGAAUCAAAGCGCAGCUCCUCCUCAGCCACCUCAUGGUCACAGUUUGCCCUCAGAUGCUGCGUCCGGUCCACACAUGCAGAAUCAGAUGAACGGACAGAUACCAGGACCUAACCAAAUGUCCAUACAAGGGCCCGGACCCAACCAAACACCCAGCAUACCCAGUGGAUCCAUGAACAUGCCACCCAGCAGUCAUGGCUCUAUGGGGGCGUAUAAUCACGCUGGACCCUCGUCACAGGGCAUGACAUCACAGGGUCAGAUGAAUAUAAGCCAGGGACAGCCCAUAGGCACUUACGGCCCUCGCCCCAACAUUAACAUGCAGCCCAACCAGGGGCCCAUAAUGCACCAGCAGGCGCCCUCCCAACAGUACAACAUCCCUGCCGCUGGUGGCAGUGCACAGCAUUACCAGGGCCAGCAGAAUCCCAUGGGCAUGAUGGGUCAGGGUAAUCAUGUUAUGGGACAGAGGCCUAUGCCCCCCUACAGGCCACCACAUCAAGGACCUCCACAGCAGUACCCAGGUCAGGAGGAAUAUUACACAGAGCAAUACAGCCAUGGAGGACAGGGGGCGCCAGAGGGAAACUCACAGUACGGUCAGCAGCAGGAUGCGUAUCAGCAGGGUCCACCUCAACAGCAGGGUUACCCACCACAGCAACAGUACACUGCACAGCAGGGUUAUCCUGGACAACAACAAGCCUACGGUCCGUCUCAGGGCACUCCAGGUCAGUACCCAAACUACCCACAGGGUCAAGGACAGCAGUAUUCAGCCUAUAGACCACCACAGCCCGGACCACCGCAGGGACAGCCACAGAGACCCUAUGGAUUUGAUCAGGCUCAGUAUAGUAACUAUCAACAGUAAGUGUUUGACUUCCUGGCCGAGCAUACCUCUCAUCAUCAUCUGAUGAAGAUCUCUCUUUCUCUCUCUCUCUCUCUCUCUCUCUCUCUCUCUCUCUCUCUCUCUCUCUCUACAAAGAGGUUUAUCUUCCCCGCUCAUACAGACUGAACAUUACCUUGAUACUCAACACAGAUGUUUUUCAAAGUGAAUCUCCUACAAAACUCAAUCAACUUUACAACAUGAAGAAACAAAGUGUACUCCUGUUUGUUUGUUUGUUUUUUAAGUAUUUGCUAUCAACAUGUGUAUAGUUUUACUGAAUUCAUAGCAGCAAUGCCUUAAAUGAAACAACUGCCGCCCUUACAGCAAAACCAGUCGAUAUAACAAGACACACACACACACACACACACACACAGCAAUGUUCAUAUGUAAAAUGUAUUUUCAGUUUUGUGUAAAGUUCAGAUCAUUAGAUUGUUUUCUUCCCCUUGUUGCUAAAGUCAGAAAAGCAAUAACGCUGUGGUGAGCCAAAGGGGAUCUUUCACCAGGAAAUGCUUUUUAUUUCAGGUUGAUAUCUACGCUAUGAUGUGUAAAUGUUUAAAUAUUUUAUUCUUUAGGAAAUGGAGCUCAGACUCCGAGUCCACUGAAUUGUUGAAUUGUAGCUCAAAGUGUCGUCCCGUUGUUUAAUGAUGUAUUUGUAUUUCUGAGUUUGGGACAUUUUGUUGACUAUGACAUGUAUGACUUGUUGAAAUGAUUAAACCUUAUUGGUACUGUAA